CCAAGCUGAAACAUUAGCAACAACAUUGGACAAUGGUGAGAAGAAAAUGAAGCUUGUCUACCUUUGUAACCUCGGAGGCUAUAGGAGAUAAUGGACCAGAUGGGAGGAAGGAGAAGGUAAGCAAGAAACAAUGCUCCAGCAGUUCCUACAAUCACGACUGGUUCUGCUGAAGAAAUGGUCUCAAUAGUUGAUGAAGCAAUU